ensembl:lncRNA
GGCUCCCACAAGGAUGUGCAGGGAGUGAGCCCUGCUGCACUUUCAGGAACAGCAGAGGACUGACCGGGUGAGCUGAGGCAGGAGGCUGUUUCCCAGACCCUGCUGCCUGUUGUCAAGACUAUUAUGGUCCUGAACAUUUGACAAUGGCACAAAAAGAACCAGAGUUCACACUGGUAUUUGCAUAAUUUGCAUGAGGAAGGCUGAAAUGCUUCAAGAACACACCAUGCGAAGUUCAGGAAGAUGACACUUCUCAUAUGAGAGUACCAUGACUGGAGUAAAGCUCUGCUGGAGCAAAAUUCCGCUGAAGUCAAUGCGAGACUGACAGACGGGCUGGGUUACCAUAUGUUUCCACUGACUGGGACACAUCCUGUGACCUCAACGGUGCCACGCAGAUGCCCCAUCACCUAUCUCCUGUGGGAUGCUCUGGGGACUACCUCGGGGUGUUCCUGAGGAAGUGACCAUCUGGUCAUGUCAACCGAGGAUGGUCUGGUCAGCAUUCUUUUCCAUUUCCACCUCUCCCCACUCUUGUGAGUAAAUCUCAGCUUUGGAUCAUUUAACACCAGGUCACAGAAGCUUCAGAAAUAGCAUAUCUAAGGAUGGAAGACUUUUAGACUUCGCAUGUACCAAAUUAAAGAGCUAAAGAAAAUUUAAAGCGAUUAAUAUUUUUAUUUCUUAAUUACAGCAGCAUCAUUUUAGAAGCAAUUUGACUGACUGAUAUUUAAUGGGAGUUAUUUCAGAGAUGUAAAUGCAAACCAUCAUAUCAAUUCCUGACAAGUCAAUAAUCCUUCAUAACCAACAGCACAGAAACCUAAUAA